GACGAACCGUGCGAACGUUGUUCGGAUUCACUGGGCUUAAAGGGCGCGUAGGCGGGCGAUCCAGUCGGGGGUGAAAGUUUUCGGCUCAACCGGAAAAGGGCCUUUGAUACGGGUCGUCUCGAGGGAGGUAGGGGCAUGCGGAACUUCCGGUGGAGCGGUGAAAGUGCGUAGAUAUCGGAAGGAACAUCAGUGGCGAAAGCGAACUUCCUGGACCAGUACCGACGUUCAGGCACGAAAGCGUGGGGAGCAAACAGGGAUUAGC
rnacentral:rRNA from 1 species